rnacentral:tRNA from 1 species
UCCCUGGUAGCUUAGUCGGUAAAGAUUCUGCUUGCAAUGCAGGAGUCCGGGUUCGAUCCCUGGAUUGGGAA